rnacentral:lncRNA from 1 species
AUUUACUUUGGGACAGAGUCUCGCUGAGUCACCCAGACUGGAGGGCAGUGGCGUGAUCUCAGCUCGCUACAACCUCCGCCUCCCAGGUUCAAGCUAUUCUCCUGCCUCAGCCCCCCAAGUAGCUGGGAUUACAGGUGCCCGCCACCACGCCCGGGUAACUUCUGUAUUUUUAGUAGAGAUGGGGUUUCAACAUGUUGACCAGGGUGGUUUCAGACUCCUGACCUCAAGUGAUCUGCCUGCCUUGGGCUCUCAAAGUGCUAGGAUUACAGGUGUGAGCCACUGCACCUGGCCCUCAAAGACAACAGGAGACUUCUUGCCAACAGCCACAUGAGUAAACCUCCUUGGAAGAAGAUCCUCCAGAUCUAGUCAAGCCUUCGGAUGACUGCAGCCCCAGUGGACACCUUGACUGCAACCUCAUUAAGAUCUUGAACCAGAACCACCCAGAUAAGCCACUCCCAAAUUCUUGACCCACAAAAAUCGUGAGAUAAUAAAAGCAUCCAUUGCUUUAAACCACUAAGUUUUGGGAUACUUUGAUAUGCAUCGAUAAUU